rnacentral:ncRNA from 1 species
UAAGAUGGGCCCUAGAAAGCCCCAUAGACACAAAAGCUUGGUCCUGGCUUUUAUGUCAGCUCUUACUAAACUUACACAUGCAAGCCUCUACAGCCCCGUGAGAAUGCCCUCAAUCUCCCGCCCGGAGACGAGGAGCAGGCAUCAGGCACGUUUCACUCAGCCCAAGACGCCUUGCUUAGCCACACCCCCAAGGGAAUUCAGCAGUGAUAAACAUUAAGCCAUAAGUGAAAACUUGACUUAGUUAAAGUAAACAGGGCCGGUAAAACUCGUGCCAGCCACCGCGGUUAUACGAGAGACCCAAGUUGACUUACACCGGCGUAAAGUGUGGUUAGGGCCCCAACCUCUAAUAAAGUCGAACACCUCCCGAACUGUUAUACGCACACGGAGACAAGAAGCACCCCUACGAAAGUGACUUUAAACCCCCUGAACCCACGACAGCCUUGACACAAACUGGGAUUAGAUACCCCACUAUGCCUGGCCAUAAACUUUGAUAGUAAAAUACAUCUUCUAUCCGCCUGGGGACUACUAGCGCAAGCUUAAAACCCAAAGGACUUGGCGGUGCUUCAGACCCCCCUAGAGGAGCCUGUUCUAGAACCGAUGAUCCCCGUUCAACCUCACCAUUUCUUGCUUGUCCCGCCUAUAUACCGCCGUCGUCAGCUUACCCUUUGAAGGCCCCAUAGUAAGCAAAAUGGGCACAGCCCAAAACGUCAGGUCGAGGUGUAGCGUAUGAAGUGGGAAGAAAUGGGCUACAUUCUCUAAAUAGAGAAACACGAAAGAUGUGAUGAAACACACAUCCAAAGGUGGAUUUAGCAGUAAGCAGAAAAAAGUGUGUUCUGCUGAAACCGGCUCUGAAGCGCGCACACACCGCCCGUCACUCUCCCCAAAUCACCUACCUACAUUCCAUAAGCAAAACUUAAAACAAGGGGAGGCAAGUCGUAACAUGGUAAGUGUACCGGAAGGUGCACUUGGAACAAAU